UAGUCCCGGGAAACUGGGUUUAAUACCGUAUACGCCCUUCGGGGGAAAGAAUUUCGGUGAAGGAUCGGCCCGCGUUAGAUUANAUAGUUGGUGGGGUAAUGGCCUACCAAGUCUACGAUCUAUAGCUGGUUUUAGAGGAUGAUCAGCAACACUGGGACUGAGACACGGCCCAGACUCCUACGGGAGGCAGCAGUGGGGAAUCUUAGACAAUGGGCGCAAGCCUGAUCUAGCCAUGCCGCGUGAGUGAUGAAGGCCUUAGGGUCGUAAAGCUCUUUCGCCAGGGAUGAUAAUGACAGUACCUGGUAAAGAAACCCCGGCUAACUCCGUGCCAGCAGCCGCGGUAAUACGGAGGGGGUUAGCGUUGUUCGGAAUUACUGGGCGUAAAGCGCGCGUAGGCGGAUUAGAAAGUUGGGGGUGAAAUCCCAGGGCUCAACCCUGGAACUGCCUCCAAAACUACUAGUCUAGAGUUCGAGAGAGGCGAGUGGAACUCCGAGUGUAGAGGUGAAAUUCGUAGAUAUUCGGAAGAACACCAGUGGCGAAGGCGGCUCACUGGCUCGAUACUGACGCUGAGGUGCGAAAGUGUGGGGAGCAAACAGGAUUAGAUACCCUGGUAGUCCACACCGUAAACGAUGAAUGCCAGUCGUCGGCGCGCAUGCGUGUC
rnacentral:rRNA from 1 species